AGAGCACAUUCGUGUUCUGCGUUUCUCAUCGAUCGGCUGAGACGAUGACGUUCCAGUUCCGUAACAGAGGCGUUGUAAUUUCUGCGUCUUUAAUCUCAUUGUCUUUAAUCCCAUUAAAUCAGGCGCUCAUUACGAUCUCUUCUGUUGCGUUGUUCAUUCUGCGAUUUCGUGUAUAAUAGGUUCGUAUCUCACAUCUGCGAAUCGCGAUCUCGAAAUCUCUCUGUUAUCCUUCUCCUUCAUAUUCAUCUCUUAAUACUCAUCUCUCUGUUCUUCUGUUGUCGAGGCGAGGCUUCUGAGAUUCUGGAAAAUUAGGAAUAUCAACCGUGGUGGGGAGCAUAUGUGAGCUGAUCUGCUCAUGGUUGACGUUAACAUGUUGUACUAGGAAACUAAUAAGUGUUUGGUCUCAUGCGUUUACAUUCAAACAAAGACCAUGAUGAGCUACUCUCUCAUGGUCAAACGGUCCAAAUAUCUCAUGGAAGCUCAAGUGGCCGGGUGUGUUCGACGUCUGAAGCAGAGCGGUAUCUGGGCAGAAGAAGAAGUGAUAGAACGAAGGGAUAUGGGGUCUAGACCUCCUAUGCAAACAUUUUCAAGCAAUGUGUAUUUAUUGAGAUCUGAUUGGUUUCACGGACCCGCUAUUGCUGUCUGAAAUUGUAGGGAGAUACUAAAUACGUCGAACAAACGUGAUAUGAGUUUUGUGUUGUGAUUGGAAGAAGAGUUGUUUGUUUGUUUGAACAGGAGAAGCGUCUAUAACUUUGAAACGAGGCAACAUUCGACAUGGUGUAGAAGAAAAGGAAGAAUUCCUCUGACUUCUCCGAAGUCAUUAUCUUUCAUUCAGUUUUAAAAACAUGCAAGUGUUUAACAGUUUUCGAAACUGCCUCUAUGCAUUUGUUUUGGUCAUGUAACAAAUCUUAUAUAUAAAAUAAGCGAGUAGUACGAGAGGAAUUAUGAAUCUUAAAAUAUUAUUUGCUUAGAGCCUUGGCGUCAA